rnacentral:rRNA from 1 species
CCUACGGGAGACAGCAGUGGGGAAUAUUGCACAAUGGGGGAAACCCUGAUGCAGCGACGCCGCGUGCGUGAAGACGUAUUUCGGUAUGUAAAGCUCUAUUAGCAGGGAAGAAAAUGACGGUACGUGACUAAGAAGCCCUGGCUAACUACGUGCCAGCAGCCGCGGUAAUACGUAGGGGGCAAGCGUUUUCCGGAUUUACUGGGUGGAAAGGGAGCGUAGACGGCAUCGCAAGUCUGGAGUGAAAGCCCGUGGCUUAACCAUGGAACUGCAGUGGAAACUGUGCGGCUGGAGUGCAGGAGAGGUUGGCGGAAUUCCUGGUGUAGCGGUGAAAUGCGUAGAUAUUAGGAGGAACACCAGUGGCGAAGGCGACUGACUGGACUGUAACUGACGUUGAGGCUCGAAAGUGUGGGGAGCAAACAGGAUUAGAUACCCCUGUAGUC